rnacentral:lncRNA from 1 species
CAAAUAUAUGAUGUGGUGGUGUUUCUGAAGACUGGGAGAAAUGUAAUCUGACAGUUCCUACAGCUGAGGCUUAGUAAUGGCAAAUAUCCAGUCAUGGAAUGCAGAGGAGAGAAUAAAAAAUGUUAUUGUGCUUUAACUUGCCACUUGUGAUGACAUGAAUACCACACAUUCUGACACCUGCUAGAUGUGUCUAGAUCUAUGGUUAACUUGGUUGGAUGCCAUGUCUGCUUCCUUUCAUUUCAAAGUAGGAAAAGUCAGAAUGAGAACACUAGUUCUUCACUUCAGUUCUGCUGUCAUGAGGAUCGAGUACCUGUAGAGCUCUAUCAUAGGGCUACAGGUAACACUCUUGUAUAAACUGGAGCAAAAAUGUUUGCCACAGUCCAGACCCUGAAAUAAAAUGGACAUUUAGCAAAAGAUGACCAUUUUCAAGGUUACAUCCGGAGUGGGAAGAAAACACCACAGAUUUUGCAUCUUUGUGGCGUAUCUUGAAGAUGUUCCAGCAAAGUCAUCAGUUUGGACUGUGCCCAACAGAUUUGUACAAGGGGAAAGAAUAAGAGGAAAGAAAAUGAACUCCUUAUUCUAUCCCACUCCACCAAAAUGCAAUCACAUCCAUGGAUUUUGUCAGAGG